UACGUAGGGACCAAGCGUUGUUCGGAUUUACUGGGCGUAAAGGGCGCGUAGGCGGCAUAUUAAGUCAGCUGUGAAAUCUCCGAGCUUAACUCGGAACUGUCAGCUGAUACUGAUGUGCUAGAGUGCAGAAGGGGCAAUCGGAAUUCUUGGUGUAGCGGUGAAAUGCGUAGAUAUCAAGAGGAACACCUGAGGUGAAGACGGGUUGCUGGGCUGACACUGACGCUGAGUGCGCGAAAGCCAGGGGAGCAAACGGG
rnacentral:rRNA from 1 species